UCUCAUCUCUUUCUGUGGUUAGUGCUCUGAUGUCCGGAUAUAGAUAAUCUUGAAGUAAUUCUUGAUUCUUAGAUCAACUAGAGAAUUCUCAGGAAACUUCCUCUCUUCCCACCAAAAAUAAUUAUAUAGUUAUCCUUGGGCGAUCUUGGAUCUUAAUUAGUACACUCACGUUCUCUGUGGAAAAUCGAUACUCUGGAAUACUCCCGGGUGAAAGCUACAUCGGUAUCCGUGCACUUGCGGAUUUUUCUGUUUGCGUUUAAAAUACCCAACAAUACUCAAUCUCAUAUUCCAUUCUGUAAUCAAUAUUGAUGAUUGUUAAUCCCUUCCCACUAGUAAAAAUAUAAAUAACGAUACCUAGAAUACUUCCCGGUUAAAAUGCUACAUCGGUAUUAAUCUGUGCGCCUGCAGAUCCCAUUCAUUAUUUAUUUAGAAGAGCAAUUGUAUAUUUCAAUACCGCGUCUCUCAUGUCAUGC
rnacentral:lncRNA from 1 species